GAUGAAGAACGUAGCGAAAUGCGAUAAGUAAUGUGAAUUGCAGAAUUCAGUGAAUCAUCGAAUCUUUGAACGCACUUGCGCUCCCUGGUAUUCCGGGGAGCACGCCUGUUCGAGUGUCGCGAAAUUCUUCAAGCCUUGGAUGGAUUUUUUUUGUCUGCCCUUGGGCUUGGUUGUUGGGCUCUGCCGUGUCCUUCAUUGGGACGGCUGGCCUUAAAAGCAUUAGCCGAUCCUCGUGUGGUACUGGUUCUACUCAGCGUGAUAACAAUCUGAUCGUUGAGGACAUCUUCUGGAUGGCCAGUCAUCAUUUGGGUUGCUUCUAAACCGGUUUCGCAGAUUGCUCAAUCUGUGUGCCACUUUUCAGCUUUGACCUCGGAUCAGGUAGGAAUACCCGCUGAACUUAAGCAUAUCAAUAAGCGGAGGA
rnacentral:misc_RNA from 1 species